rnacentral:rRNA from 1 species
GACGAACGCUGGCGGCGUGCCUAAUACAUGCAAGUAGAACGCUGAAGGAGGAGCUUGCUUCUCCGGAUGAGUUGCGAACGGGUGAGUAACGCGUAGGUAACCUGCCUGGUAGCGGGGGAUAACUAUUGGAAACGAUAGCUAAUACCGCAUAACAGUAGAUAUUGCAUGAUAUCUGCUUGAAAGGUGCAAUUGCAUCACUACCAGAUGGACCUGCGUUGUAUUAGCUAGUUGGUGAGGUAACGGCUCACCAAGGCGACGAUACAUAGCCGACCUGAGAGGGUGAUCGGCCACACUGGGACUGAGACACGGCCCAGACUCCUACGGGAGGCAGCAGUAGGGAAUCUUCGGCAAUGGACGGAAGUCUGACCGAGCAACGCCGCGUGAGUGAAGAAGGUUUUCGGAUCGUAAAGCUCUGUUGUAAGAGAAGAACGAGUGUGAGAGUGGAAAGUUCACACUGUGACGGUAUCUUACCAGAAAGGGACGGCUAACUACGUGCCAGCAGCCGCGGUAAUACGUAGGUCCCGAGCGUUGUCCGGAUUUAUUGGGCGUAAAGCGAGCGCAGGCGGUUAGAUAAGUCUGAAGUUAAGGCUGUGGCUUAACCAUAGUACGCUUUGGAAACUGUUUAACUUGAGUGCAAGAGGGGAGAGUGGAAUUCCAUGUGUAGCGGUGAAAUGCGUAGAUAUAUGGAGGAACACCGGCGGCGAAAGCGGCUCUCUGGCUUGUAACUGACGCUGAGGCUCGAAAGUGUGGGGAGCAAACAGGAUUAGAUACCCUGGUAGUCCACGCCGUAAACGAUGAGUGCUAGGUGUUAGACCCUUUCCGGGGUUUAGUGCCGUAGCUAACGCAUUAAGCACUCCGCCUGGGGAGUACGACCGCAAGGUUGAAACUCAAAGGAAUUGACGGGGGCCCGCACAAGCGGUGGAGCAUGUGGUUUAAUUCGAAGCAACGCGAAGAACCUUACCAGGUCUUGACAUCCCUCUGACCACUCUAGAGAUAGAGUUUUCCUUCGGGACAGAGGUGACAGGUGGUGCAUGGUUGUCGUCAGCUCGUGUCGUGAGAUGUUGGGCUAAGUCCCGCAACGAGCGCAACCCCUAUUGUUAGUUGCCAUCAUUUAGUUGGGCACUCUAGCGAGACUGCCGGUAAUAAACCGGAGGAAGGUGGGGAUGACGUCAAAUCAUCAUGCCCCUUAUGACCUGGGCUACACACGUGCUACAAUGGCUGGUACAACGAGUCGCAAGUCGGUGACGACAAGCUAAUCUCUUAAAGCCAGUCUCAGUUCGGAUUGUAGGCUGCAACUCGCCUACAUGAAGUCGGAAUCGCUAGUAAUCGCGGAUCAGCACGCCGCGGUGAAUACGUUCCCGGGCCU